CGGUUCGGGCACGCCGACAGACCGCCGAACGGACCGGGGUUUCCCCUGUACGCGGACAGAGUCUCCCCUGUACGUUCUAGGCGUCGCAAUCCAAACAAUGUACAUUACAAUGGUUCCAACCAGGAACAGAUAUCAAUCAUGAUUGCGUAAGGAAGUAUCAAACAACAUAAACACAUCCUAUGUUAUUACAACAUUCACAUUAGAUUCAUUUACUUACAUCACACUUUAUAUUACAUUCAACUUCCAAAUACAACCUAAGUUAUUACAAGUUUAAUACAUUUUAUUCCUUUCAUUUUCUAUACCCCUAAGCUACGCCGACGGGGUACUGCU
rnacentral:lncRNA from 1 species